UACAGAGGUCUCAAGCGUUGUUCGGAUUCAUUGGGCGUAAAGGGUGCGUAGGUGGCGAGGUAAGUUGGAUGUGAAAUCCCGGGGCUCAACCCCGGAACUGCAUUCAAUACUGCCUUGCUUGAGUACUGGAGAGGAGAUUGGAAUUUACGGUGUAGCAGUGAAAUGCGUAGAUAUCGUAAGGAAGACCAGUGGCGAAGGCGGAUCUCUGGACAGUUACUGACACUGAGGCACGAAGGCCAGGGGAG
rnacentral:rRNA from 1 species